rnacentral:lncRNA from 1 species
CUUUUGAAUUUUUUAUUUUUCUUCUCUCGAGACUGGAUUUUUUACUUGUCUUCUUCGUUUCUUUGAGAUUUUCCAAUUUUUUUCUCUUUUUCUCCUUUUCUCAUAUUUUCGAUAUUCUACAUAUACAUCAAACUAAACAAGGAAGACUGUAUAAUCCUGCAUUGUUUAAAGCUUAGCAACUCGGACUCAUAGAAUCGACUGAGUUACAUGUCACUAAUGUACACAUGAUCAAAU